rnacentral:rRNA from 1 species
AGAACGAACGCUGGCGGCAUGCCUAAUACAUGCAAGUCGAACGAACACUUCGGUGUUAGUGGCGCACGGGUGCGUAACGCGUGGGAAUCUGCCCUUGGGUUCGGAAUAACAGUUGGAAACGACUGUUAAUACCGGAUGAUAUCGAAAGAUCAAAGAUUUAUCGCCCAGGGAUGAGCCCGCGUAGGAUUAGCUAGUUGGUGAGGUAAAGGCUCACCAAGGCGACGAUCCUUAGCUGGUCUGAGAGGAUGAUCAGCCACACUGGGACUGAGACACGGCCCAGACUCCUACGGGAGGCAGCAGUAGGGAAUAUUGGACAAUGGGCGCAAGCCUGAUCCAGCAAUGCCGCGUGAGUGAAUGAAGGCCUUAAGGGUUGUAAAAGCUCUUUUACCCGAGAUGAUAAUAGACAGUAUCGGAGAAUAAGCCCCGGCUAACUACCGUGCCAGCAGCCGAC